rnacentral:rRNA from 1 species
UACGUAGGGACCGAGCGUUGUCCGGAAUCAUUGGGCGUAAAGAGCGUGUAGGCGGCCACUUAAGUCCUGCGUGAAAUCUUGCGGCUCAACCGCAAGCGGUCGUGGGAAACUGGGUGGCUAGAGUGCGGGAGAGGAGAGUGGAAUUCCCGGUGUAGCGGUGGAAUGCGUAGAGAUCGGGAAGAACAUCAGUGGCGAAGGCGGUCUGCUGGGCCGUUGCUGACGCUGAGGCGCGACAGCGUGGGGAGCAAACAGG